GCGGUUUCAAAUUAACUAGAUAUGUUUUUUCCAUACUCAGGUUGUAAGAUUUUGCACGUUUUGUUUUUUCAGCAUCGGCUCAUGCAAACAGUAAAGUUUGUUUCAAUAAAGAACAGACUAAAUUCGUGGGGUCUUUCGGUGUCAUGUUGAAUUGGACAGUAAACGAAACUGCCUUGAGAACAAUGAUGUCCAAAGGGGUUCAACAAGGAGUCUUCAAGGAGGAAGAAUUCACCUUGUCCCAACUAAGGGACAAGGUGAAAAACCUGAAAAAGAAGCCAUUGAAGCCUUCCCUGUAAGAUGGUUUACACACAUUGACUUGUAAGCAAUUAACGCCAGAAGAACGGCCAUGAUGUCCCAGGAUAUCCAGCUGGCCAUACAGAUUUUAACAUUGUGACAGUCAAUAGUUUUGUUAAAUAUAUGAUUUUCUACUAUCACGAAUUAAGAAAAUCAUGAUGCCUGUCUGUUUGACAGUGUUACAUUUUAACUUUGAUUUCUUCCAUUCUUUGUGUGCAUAAUUUAUUGAACUUUGUGACAAUGAGGGUCUACAUAUUUUCCAACUUAUUUCAUUUCACAUUUCAUGUAUAUAGUUCCAAAGAGGCAUCUUACAUGCAUGUUGUUAUUCAUGAUUAAAUGUAGUCUAUUGAUCUCUUUUUCUUUAUUAGCAUGCUUUAAUAUGAGAAUGAUUAUAAGAUUACAAUUUUUUUUAUCUAAUUAGAAAUAAAGUAGAUUGACUUUAUUCUUAGUCUGUAUUAUAUUAUAGCACUUGAUCCAAGAUAUAUAACUUGAUUUGACACACUUUGUAUGUUAGACGCACAACAGGUCAGUCUUGAUUUGUUUUCCUUGUUUUAGCGAUCAAAUAUCCUUUCAGUUGAAAACAAAAAUACAGAGAAAGCCUACCGACAUAUAUUUCCUCCUCCCGUUUAAAAUAAACUUGCGUAGCUAUCGUUUCUCAAAUAUUUUAGUGGAGCACAUUCAAAUGACUAAUUCCAAGAUAAAGUAAAGCCUUCAAAAUAACGAUUUUAACGAAAUUGAAUUUGGGUAAGGGUUAAGGUAUGGGUGUUAAAUAUAUGAUUUUCUACUAUCACGAAUUAAGAAAAUCAUGAUGCCUGUCUGUUUGACAGUGUUACAUUUUAACUUUGAUUUCUUCCAUUCUUUGUGUGCAUAAUUUAUUGAACUUUGUGACAAUGAGGGUCUACAUAUUUUCCAACUUAUUUCAUUUCACAUUUCAUGUAUAUAGUUCCAAAGAGGCAUCUUACAUGCAUGUUGUUAUUCAUGAUUAAAUGUAGUCUAUUGAUCUCUUUUUCUUUAUUAGCAUGCUUUAAUAUGAGAAUGAUUAUAAGAUUACAAUUUUUUUGAUCUAAUUAGAAAUAAAGUAGAUUGACUUUAUUCUUAGUCUGUAUUAUAUUAUAGCACUUGAUCCAAGAUAUAUAACUUGAUUUGACACACUUUGUAUGUUAGACGCACAACAGGUCAGUCUUGAUUUGUUUUCCUUGUUUUAGCGAUCAAAUAUCCUUUCAGUUGAAAACAAAAAUACAGAGAAAGCCUACCGACAUAUAUUUCCUCCUCCCGUUUAAAAUAAACUUGCGUAGCUAUCGUUUCUCAAAUAUUUUAGUGGAGCACAUUCAAAUGACAAAUUCCAAGAUAAAGUAAAGCCUUCAAAAUAACGAUUUUAACGAAAUUGAAUUUGGGUAAGGGUUAAGGUAUGGGUUUAAGUUAGGGUUAGGGUUAGGGUUUGGGUUAGGUUUAUAGACAAAUUUGGGGUAUAGACAUAGAUGGAAUGAUAUAUUAUGGUGUGAUAUGGCUGGUGUAUAUAUAGGGGAUAGGGUUAGGCAGAACUUCUUUUUUCCCAAAAAAAUUGCUAAGUACAGUUUGCCUUUGACUUCAAUGUUCAAACAGGUGUAGAAU